rnacentral:rRNA from 1 species
UACGUAGGUGGCAAGCGCUGUCCGGAUUUACUGGGCGUAAAGAGCGCGCAGGCGGUCGUUCAAGUGGCGUGUGAAAGCCCCCGGCUCAACUGGGGAGGGUCACGCGAUACUGUUCGACUCGAAGGCAGGAGAGGGAAGUGGAAUUCCCGGUGUAGUGGUGAAAUGCGCAGAUAUCGGGAGGAACACCAGUGGCGAAGGCGACUUCCUGGCCUGUUCUUGACGCUGAGGCGCGAAAGCUAGGGUAGCAAACGGG